GAGUUUGAUCGUGGCUCAGAUUGAACGCUGGCGGCAUGCCUUACACAUGCAAGUCGAACGGAUGACGGGAGCUUGCUCCUUGAUUCAGCGGCGGACGGGUGAGUAAUGCCUAGGAAUCUGCCUGGUAGUGGGGGACAACGUUUCGAAAGGAACGCUAAUACCGCAUACGUCCUACGGGAGAAAGCAGGGGACCUUCGGGCCUUGCGCUAUCAGAUGAGCCUAGGUCGGAUUAGCUAGUUGGUGGGGUAAUGGCUCACCAAGGCGACGAUCCGUAACUGGUCUGAGAGGAUGAUCAGUCACACUGGAACUGAGACACGGUCCAGACUCCUACGGGAGGCAGCAGUGGGGAAUAUUGGACAAUGGGCGAAAGCCUGAUCCAGCCAUGCCGCGUGUGUGAAGAAGGUCUUCGGAUUGUAAAGCACUUUAAGUUGGGAGGAAGGGCAGUAAGUUAAUAACCUUGCUGUUUUUGACGUUUACCGACAGAAUAAGCACCGGCUAACUCUGUGCCAGCAG
rnacentral:rRNA from 1 species